AUUGAACGCUGGCGGCAUGCUUUACACAUGCAAGUCGAACGGUAACAGGUCUUCGGAUGCUGACGAGUGGCGAACGGGUGAGUAAUACAUCGGAACGUGCCUAGUAGUGGGGGAUAACUACUCGAAAGAGUAGCUAAUACCCCAUGAGAUCUACUGAUGAACGACGGGGACCUUCGGGCCUUGCGCUACUAUAGCGGCUGCUGGCAGAUUAGGUAGUUGGUGGGGUAAAGGCUUACCAAGCCUGCGAUCUGUAGCUGGUCUGAGAGGACGACCAGCCACACUGGGACUGAGACACGGCCCAGACUCCUACGGGAGGCAGCAGUGGGGAAUUUUGGACAAUGGGCGAAAGCCUGAUCCAGCAAUGCCGCGCGCAGGAUGAAGGCCCUCGGGUUGUAAACUGCUUUUGUACGGAACGAAAAGCCUGGGGCUAAUAUCCCCGGGUCAUGACGGUACCGUAAGAAUAAGCACCGGCUAACUACGUGCCAGCCGCCGCCGUAA
rnacentral:rRNA from 1 species